GACGAACGCUGGCGGCGUGCUUAACGCAUGCAAGUCGAACGGAAAGGCCCUGCUUUUGUGGGGUGCUCGAGUGGCGAGCGGGUGAGUAACACGUGAGUAACCUGCCCUUGACUUUGGGAUAACUUCAGGAAACUGGGGCUAAUACCGGAUAGGAGCUCCUGCUGCAUGGUGGGGGUUGGAAAGUUUCGGCGGUUGGGGAUGGACUCGCGGCUUAUCAGCUUGUUGGUGGGGUAGUGGCUUACCAAGGCUUUGACGGGUAGCCGGCCUGAGAGGGUGACCGGCCACAUUGGGACUGAGAUACGGCACAGACUCCUACGGGAGGCAGCAGUGGGGAAUAUUGCACAAUGGGCGGAAGCCUGAUGCAGCAACGCCGCGUGCGGGAUGACGGCCUUCGGGUUGUAAACCGCUUUCGCCUGUGACGAAGCGUGAGUGACGGUAAUGGGUAAAGAAGCACCGGCUAACUACGUG
rnacentral:rRNA from 1 species